rnacentral:rRNA from 1 species
AACGAACGCUGGCGGCAUGCCUAACACAUGCAAGUCGAACGAUGCCUUCGGGCAUAGUGGCGCACGGGUGCGUAACGCGUGGGAAUCUGCCCUUCGGUUCGGAAUAACUCAGGGAAACUUGAGCUAAUACCGGAUAAUGACGUAAGUCCAAAGAUUUAUCGCCGAAGGAUGAGCCCGCGUAGGAUUAGGUAGUUGGUGGGGUAAUGGCCCACCAAGCCGACGAUCCUAGCUGGUCUGAGAGGAUGAUCAGCCACACUGGGACUGAGACACGGCCCAGACUCCUACGGGAGGCAGCAGUGGGGAAUAUUGGACAAUGGGCGAAAGCCUGAUCCAGCAAUGCCGCGUGAGUGAUGAAGGCCUUAGGGUUGUAAAGCUCUUUUACCAGGGAUGAUAAUAACAGUACCUGGAGAAUAAGCUCCGGCUAACUCCGUGCCAGCCGCCGCGGUAAUAC